AACAUCCAGGAUACUAGUCGUUUUUACAUUGGAUAUCUGCGCGAAACUUUACAGUUAUUUACUAAAUGUCGAAAAAACACAAUUGCGUAAUGUCGGUUUUUCCAUUAAAUCAUAA